rnacentral:rRNA from 1 species
GACGAACGCUGGCGGCGUGCUUAACACAUGCAAGUCGAACGAAGUGGCGAACGGGUGAGUAACGCGUAAUCAACCUGCCCUUCAGAGGGGGACAACAGUUGGAAACGACUGCUAAUACCGCAUACUGAAGGGGGGGAUUGCGUUGGAUGAGCCAGUUGGAGGGGUAACGGCCCACCAAGGCGAUGAGCAGUAGCCGGUCUGAGAGGAUGGACGGGCACAUUGGGACUGAGAAACGGCCCAGACUCCUACGGGAGGCAGCAGUGGGGAAACUUCCGCAAUGGACGAAAGUCUGACGGAGCAACUCCGCGUGAGUGAUGACGGCCUUCGGGUUGUAAAGCUCUGUUAAGCGGGACGCGGUACCGGAAUAGAAAGCCCCGGCUAACUCCGUGCCAGCAGCCGCGGUAAUUC